rnacentral:rRNA from 1 species
UACGAAGGGGGCUAGCGUUGUUCGGAAUUACUGGGCGUAAAGCGCGCGUAGGCGGCUUUGCAAGUCGGGUGUGAAAUCCCCAGGCUUAACCUGGGAACUGCAUUCGAGACUGCAUUGCUAGAGUAUGGGAGAGGGAAGUGGAAUUUCCGGUGUAGCGGUGAAAUGCGUAGAUAUCGGAAGGAACAUCAGUGGCGAAGGCGGCUACCUGGCCCAAUACUGACACUCAGGUGCGACAGCGUGGGGAGCAAACAGG